rnacentral:tRNA from 1 species
GCCCCUUUCGUCUAGUGGUCAAGGACUCAGCCUUCUCAAGGCUGCGACCCGGGUUCGAAUCCCGGAGGGGGCA